rnacentral:rRNA from 1 species
AUUGAACGCUGGCGGCAGGCUUAACACAUGCAAGUCGAGCGGAGAUGAGGUGCUUGCACCUUAUCUUAGCGGCGGACGGGUGAGUAAUGCUUAGGAAUCUGCCUAUUAGUGGGGGACAACAUUCCGAAAGGAAUGCUAAUACCGCAUACGUCCUACGGGAGAAAGCAGGGGAUAUUCAGACCUUGCGCUAAUAGAUGAGCCUAAGUCGGAUUAGCUAGUUGGUGGGGUAAAGGCCUACCAAGGCGACGAUCUGUAGCGGGUCUGAGAGGAUGAUCCGCCACACUGGGACUGAGACACGGCCCAGACUCCUACGGGAGGCAGCAGUGGGGAAUAUUGGACAAUGGGGGGAACCCUGAUCCAGCCAUGCCGCGUGUGUGAAGAAGGCCUUAUGGUUGUAAAGCACUUUAAGCGAGGAGGAGGCUACUGAGACUAAUACUCUUGGAUAGUGGACGUUACUCGCAGAAUAAGCACCGGCUAACUCUGUGCCAGCAGCCGCCGUAAAAC